rnacentral:rRNA from 1 species
UACGUAGGGGACGAGCGUUGUCCGGAAUUACUGGGCGUAAAGGGUGCGCAGGCUGUAGAUCAAGUCAGCUGUGAAAUGUCUGGGCUUAACCCGGGCAUGCGGUUGAAACUGAUGUACUGGAGUGCUGUAGAGGCAAGUGGAAUUCCCAGUGUAGCGGUGAAAUGCGUAGAUAUUGGGAAGAACACCGGUGGCGAAGGCGACUUGCUGGGCAGCAACUGACGCUGAGGCGCGAAAGCCAGGGGAGCAAACGGGAUUAGAUA